UGAAAGUUCCUAUAAACCUCUCAACUGCC
rnacentral:sRNA from 1 species